rnacentral:lncRNA from 1 species
AUCUAAAAGGUGUUGAUUUGGAGACUUCACCCCCACAUAUGGGGUCUCAGUGUCUUGAAACCGAUUGAGUUUCUUCUCAUAUUCCUGUUUUUCUUUGCCACAUGUAUGAAAUAGUGAAAUGUGAGCACGUCAGAUAGGAGUGGUCGCAAUGGUCACACCCUUGGAGCAUAACAUGCCUCCUAAAUACAGGUUUUUAGUUACUAAUGGUAGCUUAACAGGCUUAGAACUGUUCUCCACAGUACAGGAAAUCUUGUUCAAAAGGUACUUGAAAGGUGUGACUCGAAUUGUACUUCCAGCCCAUGCUGCUGUGUUUCAUUGAGGCCAAUUAUGAUGCAUCACAUGACCUAAUGAGAGGGAUAUAGUCCCUUGCCUUUUUACCAGCUUAUUAAGGGGUCUGGGGGUGAUGUCUGGAGUGACUUUUUGCUAGCAGUCUGGCAGUGCUGAGUUUAUUCCUCCCAGAGGGAUUCCACCAUGCCAGUGAGGAUUUGGGCUGGCUUGUGGCUGCCUAGUGCUUACAUUUGAUUAAAUUGUUACCUUCUAUCCAUUCAUUGUCCCCUAGUUCCAGCCUUCCAAGCAGUGGCUAUGCCUAUAAGGCCACAGAUGGAGAAGAAAGAAGACUCAGGCAUUUGGGCCAGGUGGCUCUUCCAGGUUCCUGUUUAGCUGGAGUUAAGGGUAGGGCAGUGGGGAAAACUUCGGCGAUGGGCUGGGUCUCCAUUUGUUGAAGAACUGCUCCUCCUAGGCAGUUAGACGGAUUACCAGCAUCUUAUAGUGUUCUCUGGAAGUUUAAGUUGAAAAAGGUGGGUGCCAUUUUUUGUCUGCUAGGAGAGCAACACCCUUUGUCGCCCUCUUUAGUUUGAUGGUUUAAUCAUUUCAGUGGUGAUUUUUUUUUUUUUUUUUGAGGGGAGGAGGGCAAUCUGGAAAUCCCGUUUGCUGUAGAACUUUGAUAUCUAAUAUGGUAGCUAUCCACAUGUGGCUGGUUAAAAUGAAAUUAAGAAUUCAGUUCCUCAGUCAUAGUAGCUGCAUUUCAAGUGUGUAAUAGUCACAGCAGUAGGUAGUGGCUA